rnacentral:rRNA from 1 species
GUUGAACGCUGGCGGAAUGCUUUACACAUGCAAGUCGAGCGGCAGCGCGGGGGCAACCCUGGCGGCGAGCGGCGAACGGGUGAGUAAUACAUCGGAACGUGUCCUUGAGUGGGGGAUAGCUCGGCGAAAGCCGGAUUAAUACCGCAUAAGCUCUGCGGAGGAAAGCGGGGGACUGGUAACGGCCUCGCGCUGUUGGAGCGGCCGAUGUCGGAUUAGCUAGUUGGUGGGGUAAAGGCCCACCAAGGCGACGAUCCGUAGCUGGUCUGAGAGGAUGAUCAGCCACACUGGAACUGAGACACGGUCCAGACUCCUACGGGAGGCAGCAGUGGGGAAUUUUGGACAAUGGGGGCAACCCUGAUCCAGCCAUUCCGCGUGAGUGAAGAAGGCCU